rnacentral:rRNA from 1 species
CCCAGACUCCUACGGGAGGCAGCAGUGGGGAAUAUUGGACAAUGGGGGGAGCCCUGAUCCAGCGACGCCGCGUGAGUGAAGAAGUAUUUCGGUAUGUAAAGCUCUCUCAGCAGGGAAGAAAGAAAUGACGGUACCUGACUAAGAAGCCCCGGCUAACUACGUGCCAGCAGCCGCGGUAAUACGUAGGGGGCAAGCGUUAUCCGGAUUUACUGGGUGUAAAGGGAGCGUAGACGGCUAUGCAAGUCUGGAGUGAAAGGCGGGGGCCCAACCCCCGGACUGCUCUGGAAACUGUAGAGCUAGAGUGCAGGAGAGGUAAGUGGAAUUCCUAGGGUAGCGGUGAAAUGCGUAGAUAUUAGGAGGAACACCAGUGGCGAAGGCGGCUUACUGGACUGUAACUGACGUUGAGGCUCGAAAGCGUGGGGAGCAAACAGGAUUAGAUGCCCCUGUAC